CAGAGGUGUGGGAUGGGCUGGAUUUCUGGAACUUAACUUCUGUACCACAAUUAAAUAACCUUUAACUUCAUCACCAUAUUUUAUUUUCUGUGUAAAAAAUUACAAUCCUAGAAACGCUAAUGGCACAAAACAUAUUUCCGGAAAAGACACCUCUUCGUGAAGAAAAACAAAAUUAGCUUGAUUUGCCAUUAUCGAAUACAGCUGAAUAUUGGAAUGAGAAUACCAACUGCUCCUCAUACAUUGCUAACUCACCCUCUUCAGACCAGUCAAGGUGUUCCAGAAGCCUCCGUUUUGGUGAAUACUUCCUCUGAAGAGCGUCAUUGACUCGUUGUAGUCUGUGACUCUGCACAGUGCAGGUUUUCAAGAUCAAAGCCUCAAGUUACAAAAACAAAGCAUAUGGAAAUGCGGCAGAAGCCACUGUAUAGGCUGCCUUUUCCUGCUUUAGACCAUAAACCCUCCAAUGCCCUAUACCUGCCAUUGCAUUACAUUACAUUGCAAGGUAUUUAGCAGACGCUCUUAUCCAGAGCCUCGUACAAGGAAGUGCAGAUCGAACACAGGGACAAGUAUGGAGUCCUAGAGUGAACGUACAGAUACAAUCGGAACACCUUGAAGAAUACAUCAAUUUAUGAACUAGCAUACCAUGGUUGGCAGCUAGAAUACCCAGAGUACAACAAUACAAUAUCUAAUACAAUACAGCAAUAUCUAUAUCUAGAUAUAAGUGCCAUUAUAAUCUAUGGCAUACACAAGGCUAAUCAUGAGUGUGAGGUAGGGAGGGAAAGGUGCAGCCUGAGGAGAUGAGUCUUCAGUCUGCGUUUGAAAACGGUCAGAGACCCUGAUGUUGUGACAUUGCAAAUCCAUUUGGUCAUCAGAACCUUAUUUGAUUUUGGGCAUGGGUUCAUUUAAUGUAUAAGAUAAGCGCUGCAUUCCAAAUAAAUGGGCUGACUUCACAAUUAAACUUUAUUUUAUAGAUUCUAGAUUAACCACUGUCUCCGUUAACGAUUAUGAUAGUGCUUAUGAAGGCAGUAUGAAGGCACCGAUUAUGAAGGCACUGGCUAUCACUAUUAGAGCUAAUAAUAAGAUAAUAGAGAACUUCAUAUUAUGUACGCAAAUGUUAUUUUAAUUAUUUAAUUCAAAACCCUAUAAUCGUAAUGAAAGGAGAGUACAUCUAUUGGAGAGAAGCUCACAUGUCCUGCCUCACUAAUGUCACAUAUUAGGGGAUUCAACAGGUUGGGUGCAUUUCUCUGGAUUUUCAACAAAGUACUUGGCACUAGAGCAGGACAAGGAAUCGGUGACUCUAAAGUAUGGGACAGAGAAAGCAUGAUGGUGGAAGUGAUUGCAUAGAGUAGCGGAACCUACAUUUUCUGAGUCAGUUACUCACUCAAUGAGUAAAUGCAUUCACUGUGGCCCUUAUGAACGUCUUUGUUCAAAUGGGACAUUAUGUUCCGAUAUGAUCAAUAUGUUGGUGCAGCACUGUUUAAUUCAACCGGUGGGAAUGUUACUAACAGUUUUAACAGGUCAUCUUGUGAGCACUUCAGUAUAAUGAAAUUAUUCAACCAUUCAAACGCAGUGAGAAUGUUUUUCAGGAACUGCACAUGGAGGUUUUUGGUUUUACAUACAGUAAUGCAUUCAAAG